CCUACGGGUGGCAGCAGUCGAGAAUCAUUCACAAUGGGGGAAACCCUGAUGGAGCGACGCCGCGUGGGGGAAUGAAGGUCUGCGGAUUGUAAACCCCUGUCAUGUGGGAGCAAAUUAAAAAGAUAGUACCACAAGAGGAAGAGACGGCUAACUCUGUGCCAGCAGCCGCGGUAAUACAGAGGUCUCAAGCGUUGUUCGGAAUCACUGGGCGUAAAGCGUGCGUAGGCGGUUUCGUAAGUCGGGUGUGAAAGGUGCGGGCUCAACCCGCGGACGGCACAUGAUACUGGGAGACUAGAGUAUAGGAGGGGGAACCGGAAUUCUCGGUGUAGCAGUGAAAUGCGUAGAUAUCGAGAGGAACACUCGUGGCGAAGGCGGGUUCCUGGACAUUAACUGACGCUGAGGCACGAAGGCCAGGGGAGCGAAAAGGAUUAGAUACCCGGGUAGUC
rnacentral:rRNA from 1 species